AUAAAAUCAAAAGCAGACGGUGCCUUCGGUCGCUCGUUCGGGCGGCGGAGAAGGGUAAAAGGGAAUCGGGUGAAAGUCCCGAGCGAUCUCGUCACCGUGAGCGCGGAGCUGUGCGCCGUUUCGCAGGGGAGACCCCGCGGAGUCACUGAGAAAUCGGGAAGGCAGACGCAUGGGCGUUGAAGCGUGAGUCGGGAAACCUGCCGUUGCUGCUGGUACAGA
rnacentral:ncRNA from 2 species